rnacentral:rRNA from 1 species
AUAUUGGUCAAUGGGCGAGAGCCUGAACCAGCCAAGUCGCGUGAAGGAUGACUGCCCUAUGGGUUGUAAACUUCUUUUGUACUGGGGUAAAAAAGGGGAUGUGUCCCUUCUUGCAAGUACAGUACGAAUAAGCAUCGGCUAACUCCGUGCCAGCAGCCGCGGUAAUACGGAGGAUGCGAGCGUUAUCCGGAUUUAUUGGGUUUAAAGGGUGCGUAGGCGGGGAUUUAAGUCAGCGGUGAAAGUUUGAGGCUCAACCUUAAAAUUGCCGUUGAAACUGGGUUUCUUGAGUGUAUUUGAAGUAGGCGGAAUUCGUUGUGUAGCGGUGAAAUGCAUAGAUAUAACGAAGAACACCAAUUGCGCAGGCAGCUUACUAAACUACAACUGACGCUGAAGCACGAAAGCGUGGGUAUCAAAC